GGGCUGCCUAUUGUUCCUGCAAACGCCAUUACAAGAUGGCGCCGAGGAGUGCAGUAAACAUCUCAUUUUGGCCUUUGUCCCAGCACAAGUCUGCCCGGCAACAGCAAGCAGCCUAUCCCAGCUUGACUAGCUUAUCUAUAGUAGAAACAUCCUGUCCUGCCUAUAUAUGCCGCUCCCUUUCCUUCUCCCUCGCCUCUCAUCUUCAACUCUCCAUUAAUCCAUCGGUACUCCAAUAAAAGUGUGAUAAGAGAAGAAUCCUCGUGUCGGUGGUCUUCUUCCCUGCCGGUCAGGGGGGCUCGCCACAGCUGGUGCCGAAACCCGGGAAGUAGGUCCAGUGGACACGUCUGAGGGGCCCAAGAAGGAUUCAGAACUCUACACAUGGAGUGAGUAAGUCUCCCCAAGAAACAGAAGAAAAUGGGAGACGUCCUAUUUUCUCUCUGAAUCCUUAUGGAGAUAUUAUUACUUCUGGUUAAGUUAUUUGUAUCUUUUUGGGACAUUAAGUUCCAUUUCUGUCUGUUGCGUAUUUUUGGUGCACCAAAAACUUGUCUAUAUGUGUGUCAAUUUAUGUUGUCUAUUGUUUGAGUGGCUGAAUGAUUGUUGUGUUUAUGUUAUGUGUUAAAAAGAAAACAUAAAAUGGUAAAAAGGGGGUGUUAUUUACUGGCAGUCCUGUCAGUCUGCAAUUUACACAGAAGAAGAUGAUUAAAGGAGCUUCACAUACUUUUUAAGAGACCAGCAGUCUCAAACUUAAUGGUUAAUUCUCUUGGGAAAAAUUUCUACUGUGGUGAUGGUUGGGUUCAAGGUGUUUUAUUCCCCUGAAAUUACAGCUAGAAAAAUAUAUAUAUUUGGUUUAAAUUAAUGAGAUUUGUGUAAUUGCUUCAUCCUUAUUUCUAAUUGGUCUUAAAGGUAUAAAUGUUUUACAUGCCUUGACUAUAGAAUAUUGAUUCAUAAGUUAUUGGACAUGAUUCAAAAGAAAAUAUAAUGGUAACAAAAGGUAAGUAGAUCUAUAAAACAUUAAUAAGGCUAUAUAGAAAUUAUAAAGGCAUUAAAAUUCGGUCUUAGAUUCAUACCAAAUAUUGACACAAGAGGCUAGAGUCAAGGCUUACAAGAUACAGUGUUGUUUCGCUUCAAAGAAAAGGAGAAAAUUGCUUUAUGCAUUUUGUCUACCUUUUUGCAGCCUACAGGCCUGCUAUGGCAAGAAGGUCCCUUGUUGUGGGUACAUCCUAGAGCCUCACCAGCAAAAUCUAUUGAUCAUUACUCUACUGCAAUUACAAAAUUGACCCUUCUAGAGAUACAACAAUGCCUACAGUUUUUUGAGAAGAAUCUUACAUCACUGAUUAUUUCCUAUACUGCCUCUCAGGUGCAGAUUUUGUGCAGAACAAUUAAUGAUUGGGUCAUAUUGCACUGCUGUUUUGAUGGAUUAAUAGAUAAUCAUUAUCCCAGAUAUCCUUUGCUUUCAUUUUUUAAGGAACAUCCUGCGGUGUUUCCAAAAGUAACUGCACAAGCACCCUUACCAGGUGCCCCCAAUAUAUUUACAGAUGGAUCAAAAACAGGUUGUGGAGCUUGUAUGAUCGAGCGCAAUGAGCCGGUUUUGUGCCAAUAUCAGCCUGGCUCCUCACAGGUGGUUAAAUUACAAAUUAUGUUAAAAGUUUUCAAAUAAUGCUCCUUUCAAGUUCAAAUUUUGGCAGCUACAUCCAAUGAUUGGGCGAUUUUAGUUACCUCCUUUGCUGGACAGAUUGACAAUCAUUAUCCAAAGCAUCCAAUUUUGCAAUUUGCCCUGAGUCAGGCUGUAGUAUUUCCACGAGUGACAUCCAGAAAUUCACUCCCAGAUGGAAUCAUGGUAUAUACUGAUGGAUAAAAAACUGAUAUAGGUGCUUAUGUAGUUAAUUGCAAGGUAGUAUCUAAACAAUAUAAUGAAAUCUCAUCUCAAAUUGUGGAAUGUUUAGUAGUACUAGAGGUUCUUGAGACCUUCCCAGGACCGCUUAAUAUUGUGUCUGAUUCUUCUUAUGUAGUUAAUGCAGUUAACCUUCUUGAGACAGCUGGGGUAAUAAAGUCCUCCAGCAGAGUUGCUAAUAUUUUUCAACAAAUACAAUUUGUGUUAGUGAAUAGAAGAUUCCCUGUUUAUGUUACUCAUGUCAGAGCACACUCGGGCCUCCCUGGUCCUAUGUCGCUAGGAAAUGAAUUGGCGGAUAAAGCCACCAAGAUCGUGGCUAUUGCACUGUUUUCCUAGACAGAAGCUGCAAAAGAAUUUCAUAAGUGCUUUCAUAUAAUGGCUGAAACCUUACGUCACUGUUUUUCAUUGAUUAGAAAAAAAGCUAGAGAAAUAGUUACCCAAUGUCAAAAUUGUUGUCAAUUUUGCCUGUGCCUCACAUGGGAAUUAACCCACGGGGAAUUCGACCACUAAUACUUCAAUAUUUGCAUGUUUCUAUUGAUACAUACUCUGGCAUUAUGUAUGCUAUACCUCUAACAGGAGAAAAGGCCUCACAUGUAAUUCAACAUUGCCUCGAGGCAUAGAGUGCUUGGGGCAAACCCAGACUCCUCAAGACAGACAAUGGACCAGCAUAUACUUUUCAAACACUCCUCCACUGCUGGUGGGGUUGCAAAUUGGUACAACCACUCUGGAAAUCAGUCUGGCGGUUCCUCCGAAAACUGGGCACCUUACUUCCAGAAGAUCCUGCUAUACCACUCCUGGGCAUAUACCCAGAAGACUCCCCACCAUGUAAUAAGGAUACAUGUUCUACUAUGUUCAUAGCAGCCCUAUUUGUAAUUGCCAGAUGCUGGAAAGAACCCAGGUAUCCCUCAACAGAAGAGUGGAUGCAAAAAAUGUGGUAUAUCUACACAAUGGAGUACUAUUCAGCCAUUAGAAACAAUGAAUUCAUGAAAUUCUUAGGCAAAAAUUUUCGACAGUUUUGCAGUCAAAUGGAUGUGAUUCAUUUAACUGGCCUCCCAUAUAAUCCCCAAGGGCAAGGUAUUGUGAAACGCGCCCACCACACUCUUAAAUCUUACUUAAUUAAACAAAAAGGGGGAAUAGCUGAACAUGCUACCCCACGAGUAAGAACAUCUCUAGCUCUCUUUACACUUAAUUUCUUAAAUCUUAAAGAGUCCAAUACAACUGCCACCGACAGGCACGUAAAUUCAGUUCUAUCUCCUUGCAUGCACGUCAUGUGGAAGGAUGUGCUGGACAAUAACUGGUAUGGACCGGAUCCUGUGAUUCAGAGAUCCAGGGGAGCUGUUUGUGUUUUUCCACAGGACCGAGCUGAUCCGAUCUGGGUUCCAGAGAGGCUGACUCGCCGAGUUGAAAGCCCAAGAGAGGAGGAUUCGAAUCCCAGUGACAAAGAUGUGGAGAAGAAUAAUGAUGCUGUGGUGGCUGACUCACCUGACGAUCACCAGUGAAAGUUAUUUUUGGUCUUUUUCUCACACGUGGCCAAUACCAGUGCCUGUGCAUAAUGAAUCCAAUGUUUUUCCUUAAUUUUACUCCACCCGAUGCCAUUAUGGGGUGCCUUGUAAAUCUAAAGAUCAGUCUGAAUUGAAGGUGCAAAGUUUUAAUCAGACUCGGGUUCCAUUGGCAGGAACACUUUGUUUUUCCAAUUCUUUUCAGUCACAAUGUAUUCAAAUUCAGAAUCAAACGUUGGCAGCUUUUGAUGAUCCACUUAGAUAUCUACGACUAGGUCUUCCGGUCGAGAUGCUGACUGAGGCAUUAAUUAAAGUCAGCGCAGGCCAACAGUCAGGCUCGGGCGAUGGUAGUAAUGGCUUGGACACAGUUAAUACUCAUACCUUUUGGAUGAACAUGACAUUAUUGAUACCCAUGAUCUCUAAGGACAAUAGUAGCAGGAUAUACAACGGGUCUAAGUCUACUUAUCUUUGUCCAAAUGUCCUUCCUGACUACCCACCUGAGUUUUUACACUGCAGGGGACAAUUUGAUAGAGUGUUUCCCAUUUCACCUGGUUUCUGGUUUACAAUUGAUCUAGACAGAUACAAGUAUCGUAACAAUUCCACAAAGAACGGAUGGCCUUUAUCAUCCUGGACCCUUAUUAACUCAAAGGGUCCAGGGUCUGUGAUCUAUCGCCUAUAGUCAAUUUGGAAAAUAGUAAGGUAGAUCUGUUCAAUGUUUCUGGAAUCUUAAACUCCACUACUAAUAGGCUUGUAGUUAAUAGUUUUCAUAAGCAACAUAAUAUGACAUUUUCUAGAGGUCGCAUGUGUGUAGAUCCUCCAUUUUUGUUUUUGCUGUUUAAUUACUCCUCUCCAGUAGUGGAUUGCAGGAACCAAAGUUGUUACAUCAGUCAGUGUUGGAAUAACAAAAAACAAGAUUCAGCUUUAGUAAUGCGCAUGCCUACCCUAGUUCCUAUCCCCGUUAGGGUUGAUCCAAGUGAAUUUCCUUUGGUUACCUUGUUUAGACAGAAAAGAGAUUUUGGCAUCACUGCCGCAAUAGUCACUGCAAUUGCGGUUUCUGCAGCUGCAGCGGUCACUGCAGGAGUUGCCAUGGCUAAUCAGGUACAAACAGUUACUCAAAUUAAUGAAAUAAUAGAGAAGACUUCUACUGCUCUUUCCUCACAAGAGAAAAUGUCAUCUCUACAAGCUGUGUAGACAGAACUCCCCACAUCUGUGUAACACCUUACUCUGCGACCCUCAAUGAGUCUAAGCAGUUGUCUAAUAUUCUGAGUGGAAAUUGGUCCAGAGAAUUUGAGCAAUUACAAGCUAAUUUCAGUUAUCGCAUUCAUGUGCUUAACAGCACCAAGGUAGAAUUGGUCACUAUAGGACAAUUUUCAGAUUGGAUGGUAAAAACCUUUUCCUAUUUUAAAGAGUGGAUAGGAGUUGGCAUGUUUGGCGCGUUUUGUCUGGCAGGACUAUUUCUAACUCUAUUCCUUUUCUGCAAAAUGUGAGCAGCUCGGAACAGGGAAAAGGUUGUCAUUGCUCGAGCCUUGACAGCUCUGGAAGCAGGCCAAUCUCCUCAAGCCUGGAUCAGCCUCUACAAAGAUCUCUGAGGCUUUAUUACUCAGGCAUUUGCAGCCCUGGAAUUUUGCUCAAGCAUUUAGACAGCUGACCGGACAGCUCUUGCACGCCCGGAACUCAGGUUCAUUGCACUGGGCAGAGUGUCCAACACAGCACCCAAGGAGGGUUGUUGAACAAGGUAUCGCACAGAGGGCCACUAUCCCCCUGAGAGACAUGUCGUUCCGCAUAAGGGUUGCCUGCCCAAGUCUCCCUUUCCCAGAAAAACGGCAGAGGACAGGUCGAGAGUAUCUCGGGCUCCAGAAUAGGCCUAGGGAUUACUCCCGUACAUGGUCUGAAAUUAAUUUUGGCUGGGAGGUACGACCACUAUCUCUACCCUCUCAAUUGGGAGAUCUAUUUGCUGCAUAAUAAAACAAAAGGAGGGAGAUGUGAGGGGCUGCCUAUUGUUCCUGCAAACGCCAUUACAAGAUGGCGCCGAGGAGUGCAGUAAACAUCUCAUUUUGGCCUUUGUCCCAGCACAAGUCUGCCCGGCAACAGCAAGCAGCCUAUCCCAGCUUGACUAGCUUAUCUAUAGUAGAAACAUCCUGUCCUGCCUAUAUAUGCCGCUCCCUUUCCUUCUCCCUCGCCUCUCAUCUUCAACUCUCCAUUAAUCCAUCGGUACUCCAAUAAAAGUGUGAUAAGAGAAGAA